rnacentral:sRNA from 2 species
ACUUCUUCUACUAUCUUCUACUAUUCACUCUUCAUACUGUUAUCACCUCUCACACAUAUCUUUAACUAGAACAGAAGACGUGUUUUGAUCUUGUUAUCUGCAACUGAUGGAGGCAAUGAGGUAAUAAGAGUGGUGCAAUAUGAGAGACAGUAAAUUUCAUGCAUCAUGAUUGCAAAAUAACUUGCUAAGGAAACAGUUGAGAGCCGGCAUUUAAGACACAAUUCUGUUUCAAAAUCAUUUAUCACCACUAUUGUAGGGAUCACAGAAUCAACUACUAGAUUUAAACUUCAAGCAUUUGAUGACACUGAAGCACCAAAGGGCCC